CUGUCGUCAGCUCGUGUCGUGAGAUGUUGGGUUAAGUCCCGUAACGAGCGCAACCCUUGUCCUUAGUUACCAGCACGUAAUGGUGGGCACUCUAAGGAGACUGCCGGUGACAAACCGGAGGAAGGUGGGGAUGACGUCAAGUCAUCAUGGCCCUUACGGCCUGGGCUACACACGUGCUACAAUGGUCGGUACAGAGGGUUGCCAAGCCGCGAGGUGGAGCUAAUCCCAUAAAACCGAUCGUAGUCCGGAUCGCAGUCUGCAACUCGACUGCGUGAAGUCGGAAUCGCUAGUAAUCGCGAAUCAGAAUGUCGCGGUGAAUACGUUCCCGGGCCUUGUACACACCGCCCGUCAC
rnacentral:rRNA from 1 species